GGGGCCGAUGUGGUUUCGACCGGGCAGGGAAGGCUUGGUGUGGCGUGUCGAGGGGCGUGCUGGCCUCGUAAAAAGCACGCACACUUUAUGACUGCCGAACCGCAGUACGCACUGGCGGCGUAAAUCGCUGCCGAUCCGUCGCUUGACGCCCGAUAGGGCGACGGGUCCAGACAUCGGGCUGGUUCAUCCGGGGUGCACCCGGCCGGAUGGGCGAGGAGGUUCACCGGUUGCUGGGCGACAGCGCAGGCCGUCGGCGGCCAGCGCCAAGCCGAGAUUCAAAACGCCGACUACACACGUAGAAGCACCCUGCUGACUGCUCUGGGACGGGGGUUCGAUUCCCCCCGGCUCCAUUU
rnacentral:tmRNA from 1 species